rnacentral:rRNA from 1 species
UCYGGUUGAUCCUGCCRGACCCGACUGCUAUCAGAGUGAGAUUAAGCCAUGCGAGUCAACGUAGCAAUACGUGGCGCACGGCUCAGUAACACGUAGUCAACAUAACCGAAGGACGUGGAUAAUCUCGGGAAACUGAGGCUAAACCGCGAUAGACCAAGAUACCUGGAAUGGUUUUUGAUCGAAAUCUAUAUGGCCCUUGGAUUGGACUGCGUCCGAUCAGGCUGUUGGUGAGGUAAUGGCCCACCAAACCCAUAACCGGUACGGGCUCUGAGAGGAGGAGCCCGGAGAUGGGUACUGAGACAAGGACCCAGGCCCUAUGGGGCGCAGCAGGCGCGAAACCUCUGCAAUAGGCGAAAGCCUGACAGGGUUACUCUGAGUGACUUUCGCUAAGAAAGUCUUUUGACAUCUGUAAAAAUGGUGUAGAAUAAGGGGAGGGCAAGUCUGGUGUCAGCCGCCGCGGUAAUACCAGCACCCCGAGUGGUCGGGACGAUUAUUGGGCCUAAAGCAUCCGUAGCCGAUUUUACAAGUCCUCCGUUAAAUCCAACUGCUUAACAGAUGGGCUGCGGAGGAUACUAUAAGACUAGGAGGCAGGAGAGGCAAGCGGUACUCAGUGGGUAGGGGUAAAAUCCGUUGAUCCAUUGAAGACCACCAGUGGCGAAGGCGGCUUGCCAGAAUGCGCUCGACGGUGAGGGAUGAAAGCUGGGGGAGCAAACCGGAUUAGAUACCCGGGUAGUCCCAGCCGUAAACGAUGCAGACUCGGUGGUGGACCAGCUUCAUGCUAGUCCAGUGCCGCAGGGAAGCCGUUAAGUCUGCCGCCUGGGUAGUACGGUCGCAAGACUGAGACUUAAAGGAAUUGGCGGGGGGAGCACCACAAGGGGUGAAGCCUGCGGUUCAAUUGGABUCAACGCCGGR